rnacentral:rRNA from 1 species
AUGCGACCGCAUGGUGAAAACUUGUAUGAGGUUUACCCAAAUCAAGGGUGGGUUGCCAAAUAUGGUUCUAGGGGCUAUUUUGUCACGGUUGAAGCUAGUGCUGGAGACUACAGAUGUGACUGCUACAAUAUUGAGAGGGACGGCAUGCUUUGCUGCCAUAUCUUGAAAGUUUUCAACCAACUUGGUGUUGAUGAAAUCCCAGCGCAGUAUAUAGUCAAAAGAUGGACACCUUUGGCAAUUCCCAAUGCACCCCUGUUGUCGAAGCGCAACCCGAUGAGAUGCCACCACAGUCAAAGAAGGAACUCAGGCAAGCAAAUUUGA